CAGCAGCAGCAGCGGCGGGAGGAGCCUCCGGGAGAUGUGGAAGAAAGAUUUGAAAUUGCAAGAAUCAUACGCGUUAAUGGCAGCUGUGACGAAACUUGUCCUAGAAUUUUGAAGUCAGAAAAACCUUGAGCGAUCUGGUGUGACUUGUUUUAGAGCCGGGAAACUAGACUCGGAGAUGAGCGACUCACUGUGGGUCCUGCAGCUGCCCAGGGAUUGGACCAAAACGAGGAUCUAGGCCUCUCUUCGCCCCAUUUAGAGAGCACUUUUCGCUCACUGCUGAACCCCCUGUUCUUCAUUGAUUGCAUUCUUCACCACCAUCCUCACUGGGUCUUUGUGCAAUAGACUUGAAAGGAGAAGUCAGAGAGUGCGCCUCACGCUGAUUCUUGACAGUUGCUGUCAGUUACCACAAGUAACUGAUGAAGAUUUUUUCCUGACCUGAAUUUAAUAAAAACCAACUGACAUUUCA